rnacentral:rRNA from 1 species
UACAGAGGUCUCAAGCGUUGUUCGGAUUCAUUGGGCGUAAAGGGUGCGUAGGCGGCGCGGUAAGUCGGGUGUGAAAUCUCGGGGCUUAACUCCGAAACUGCAUUCGAUAACUGCCGUGCUUGAGGACUGGAGAGGAGACUGGAAUUUACGGUGUAGCGGUGAAAUGCGUAGAUAUCGAUAAGGAAGACCAGUGGCGAAGGCGGGUCUCUGGACAGUGAACUGACGCUGAGGAGCGAAAGCGUGGGGAGCGAACAGG